GUUCUGAGCUACCCUACAGAGAGAGGUAACUAGGCAACUUCAGCGGCAGCCGAACAGAGGGAAGGAGAGAGAGAGGUAACCACGAAAAAAAGGGGGGCUAGAAUAAAGGGAAAUUUCGCGCGGAAAUAGGAAAUCCUGACACAGUUUUUUAAUUUUUUAUAUCGGGGUAGUGGGAUGUAGGCGGGAUUCAGUCACUAUCCCUGGGAUGGGAGAGUGGAUAACCGCUUCUGAAACCUUGUUUGUGGAUGUUGGGAAUAACAGGGAUGGUUGUGGAUUGUAACCUCGCAGCAGAAUGGGAACUAACAGUAGGCCUACUCAAUCUCGGACCGGCAGUAAGAAGCUCUCUGUAAGUGUGUGUGGGAUGUUGUGUCAGGGCUAGAGCCCCUUCUUCUCCCAUGAGCCUGUGGGCCUACACACACACACGGCGCCCUCACAAACACGCACGCAAUCGACGCUGACGUUGUGAAGUGGACCCUCGUAGCCAGACCGGAGCAGAACCAGAUCAAAGCGGCCGGUGGGCCGGCGGAGCGGAGCCUGAUGAUGUCAACAGAGGCGGAGCUACAGCCAGCUGUCAGGCCCAGCGUCAGGAGAGACUCAAGGAGGAAAGGGCAGGAUCGUAGCGAGGCCGGGUUGAUCAGGCGGUUUAAGGGGGAUGGCGUUCACUACAAGGCCAAACUUAUCGGUCUGGACGAAGUCACCGCUGCACGCGGAGACAAACUCUGUCAAGACUCCAUGAUGAAGCUCAAGGGUAUAGCAGCGGCAGGGCGGUCGAAAGGAGACCACAAACAGAAGGUGUUUCUAACUGUCUCCUUUGGAGGGAUCAAGAUCUUCGAUGAGAAGUCUGGGGUCCUCCAGCACCACCAUGCUGUCCAUGAGAUCUCGUACAUCGCUAAAGACAUCACGGACCACCGAGCCUUUGGCUACGUCUGUGGGAAGGAGGGAAACCACCGCUUUGUAGCUAUCAAGACCGCUCAGUCAGCAGAGCCAGUGAUCCUGGACCUUCGGGACCUGUUCCAGCUCAUCUAUCAGAUCAAACAGAGAGAGGAGAUGGAGAAGAAAGCCCAGAAGGACAAACAGUGUGAACAGGCUGUGUACCAGACUAUUCUGGAGGACGAUUUGGAGGAUCCUGUCUACCAGUACAUUGUGUUUGAGGCGGGACACGAGCCCAUCCGCGACCAUUCAGAAGAGAGCAUUUAUCAGGUUCCGACCAGCCAACAGAAGGAGGGGGUAUAUGACGUCCCCAAGAGACACCCAAAUAUCAACCAAUUAGAGCUUUUCGGAGACAUCUCCACACUCCCGGACAUCUACUCCCCCUCGACCCCUGCCUCUCCAGCCAACACCCUGGACCCGUCUCUGGGCCUGCAGCCCCUCACAGAACUCUUCAACCCCUUCAACCCCGCCUCUGUACCCUCAGGUUAUGUGGCGAUGGGAGCGGUACCUCCAGGUCAGGUGUGGUCGCAGCAGGCUUUUGCUGCCCAGGCAGGUCCUCUGUUUGGGGUCCAGGCCCCCCUGGGUCAUUCCCUCCCUGUAGCCCAGGUCCUGCCUGGAGGCCAGCCUCUCAUCUGGGGCCAGGCCAACCUCUUCCCUGCUACACAGCAGCAGUGGGCCGCCAUGACGGGAGCGGGUAUAUACACACAGACACAAACAUGGUUCCCUGCUACAGCCUACCUCCCAGCCCAGCCAGGAUCUCUGCCUGCCAUGCCUGCCAUGUUCCUCCCUGUCAAUCAACCCUGUGAUAGCCUAUCAUCUGCCAGCGCUGCCUCUAACCCCACCCCCUCAUCAGCCUCAAGUCCACAGCAUGCAGAGAGGCAGCGGCAGAAGAUGAGCAAGGAGAUGUUUAAGGACUUCCAGCUAGUGAAGCCCCCUGCCAUGCCUGCUAAGAUGGGGGACCAGCACCCCUGUCUAGCUGGGACCUCGGAGGCCUUCAGCUCCUAUUUCAGCCAUGCGGGGACUGCCACCGAUACAGACGACUGUGAGGACUUUGACAUCUCUCAGCUCAACCUCACUCCUGUCACCUCCACCACUCCCUCCACUAACUCACCUCCGACACCGGCCCCCAGACAGAGUUCUCCAUCUAAAUCGGCGGCGUCUCACGUUAGUGACCACAUUGACCACAUCAGUGACCCCCCCACAGACGCCACCGACCCCUCCACAGAUGACUCGUUCGGUGAGGUCGAGGGUAGCCCCAGUCGAAGUGGAGAGGAGGACGCGGCGUGUGGGUCUGGGUCUCCUUGUCCCAGUGAGACAGCAGUUUCUAGUCCAGCCCAAAUCAGUCCACCUGCCAACAGCUAGAUAGACGCUGGCUGGGUGCUGGCCUUCCCUUUUUCUUGUCCUCUCACUUAUCCUGUCUGCUGCAUCCUCUGAUGAUAGCAUGGUGAAGGAUCUCUGUCUGCAGGGGAAGGAUCCUCUCUAUGCCCAGAUCAACAAAGGGAGGAAAUAAAGAGACUGAACACUGGACUGACCUACCAACGCUGACCAACCAACCCCAUGUGUGUGUGCACGCACGUUCUCUUUAUCAGCCUUCGCCCCUGCCUUCUUUUUACCUAGUAAUUUCACCUUCCCCUCAUCCUUGUCUUUGCCCUUCACCUUCUUCUCCUUUUCCUUUUUGACGAUGACUCUGGAUGCGAUGCCACCCGGCCCCUGGAGGGAGGAGAGGAGGGAGGUUCAAGCUACACACACCCUCCAGUGUGAGUUGGAGGGUGUGUGUGAUGUGGAGCUGAGGGAAGGAAGGCAGUUUGUAGGGCUGUGAGGAGGAGGCAGGACUUUAGGUUUCUCAGGGAGAGCAGGUUUGGUCCCGGGCUGCUUCAGCAGCAGAACAUCCUCAUCCUGGAACUUUGUCCAGAGAGUCUUCUUCCUAUCAGACAGAGAAAGGAGGGGAGGGGGGAGAGAUGGGUUGGAAACAGGUACCUCAUACCUGAAAAAGACUAAAGGAUAUUAAUAGAAUUUCAAAUCACAGGUUAUCAUUGAGCCCACUCUACAGAUGUAGGAUCACCCUGUUGCAGGAGAACAUUCCUUCAGUGCAGGGCAUUUUAAACUUGUAGUGUAUUUGAGGUUUAAAAAGGCUUCUGAAGUUUGUGAUUUCCACUUUGAAUUUUGACUUGAUUUUUCAUCACGUAAAAUGUUUCAACCCCUACAAAAAUGUCAUUAAUUAUAAUCCACAUAAUAAUUCACAGUCCCUGUUGCUGCAGGAUUACUUUCCUACUGUAGCUAACUGGCUCAAAUUAAGAUCUUACAUCUGUAUCUCUCUCUCUUUUCACAGUCUAAUUCAACAUGAGAUAAAACAAACUAAGUGACCUCAUCAUUAUUUUCAAGGUGGGGUGCACAACCCCCAAAGCAUCUUCCAGAUGCUCUGGCACCAAAACUGCCAAUAGAAACUCAUAGCAGCCUAAUUCCUUUAGGUGAGAGCCUGGGGGCAAUAGAACUAUAGGUCAGGGGCCCUGGGCUCUGUGUGUGUGUGUGUGUGUGUGUGUGUGUGUGUGUGUGUGUGUGUGUGUGUGUGUGUGUGUGUGUGUGUGUGUGUGUGUGUGUGUGUGUGUGUGUGUGUGUGUGUUACUCAUCUCAAGCAGCAGCCUGGCAUCCCCUCUUACAAAGGAUGGAACGCUCCGUCUACCCCCUCUACUCGUCUUUCAUUCUCUCUUUCUCUCCAUCAAACAUUGCUAGAUACUAUGCUGCCAAAGGGUGACUGGGCCAAGCGUCGUCUCCUUUCCCAACACACACACAUCGGUAUCAGACAUGGACAGAAUUAGUGUCUGUAGCAAGUGGAUCCUGGGAUGGACUGGUAUGCUGAGAUCCUUAUUUCUGAUUGGCCGGUUUAUUGGGAUCUUGACAUCUGAUUGACUGUUUGGGUGUUUCGCCUUUAUGUGAGUGUCUGCUGGAUCACUAUGCAGAAACAGACUCUCUGGGAGCUGCUCACACACACAGUGUUUUUCCAAAUGUCUCUUCUCAGAGGGAAUGGGAAGGCUUCAAAGUGAAUGGACACUGAGGCCCGGAUGUUGCCAACCUAACAGGCAUCGCCUGGCAUGAACGAACAUUGCCAAACUAUCGGAUAGUGCCGGACUUUGGAUGUAUGUUGCCAAACUAACUGAUUCUGUGAAUGAAUUGCUCAUUCUCUAUAAUAGCUUUUAUACAAUAUGGAUUAAAACAGACAAACGGAAAUGUUUAUUUUAUAAGUCAAUCAAGCCGCUGGAGUCAGCUCUCCUGGAGUUAUACAGUCACGAGGCUUUAAGAGAGCUGAUUGUCGAUUUGCCAAACUAAUUUUGUAAAUUAUAAUAACAUUGAUCAUUCUGUCCACAGACUUUUGUGCCAUAAAAUAGGCAGGCUUCAGUUAUGCAACCAGAAGGUAUCAAGCAAUACCAACAUGUCUGUCUGUCUAGGUUUCUGUUGCUCUCUCAACCUCUGUUGUUCUGUCUAUGAUCCUAUAAGUGUAUUUCCCUAACACAGCCCUUGUCUAUACUGCAACCCUUUAUUAUCAAUAUCCAUGCUUAUCAACAUCCAUGUUUAUCAACAUCCAUGUUUA